rnacentral:tRNA from 15 species
UCGCUCUUUAGAUUUGCUAUUAAGCAAACUCUAACUAGGAACACAGCCUGUACACACGGCAGCUCUGCAUACGCGCGGUCG